rnacentral:misc_RNA from 1 species
GAUGAAGAACGUAGCGAAAUGCGAUAAGUAAUGUGAAUUGCAGAAUUCAGUGAAUCAUCGAAUCUUUGAACGCACAUUGCGCCCGCCAGUAGUCUGGCGGGCAUGCCUGUUCGAGCGUCAUUUCAACCAUCAAGCCCCCGGCUUGUGUUGGGGACCUGCGGCUGCCGCAGGCCCUGAAAAGCAGUGGCGGGCUCGCUGUCACACCGAGCGUAGUAGAUUUCAUCUCGCUCAGGGCGUGCUGCGGGUUCCGGCCGUUAAACCACCUUCAUAACCCAAGGUUGACCUCGGAUCAGGUAGGAAGACCCGCUGAACUUAAGCAUAUCAAUAAGCGGAGGA